UCCUACGGGGGGCAGCAGUAGGGAAUUUUCGUCAAUGGGCGCAAGCCUGAACGAGCAAUGCCGCGUGAAUGAGGAAGGUCUUCGGAUCGUAAAGUUCUGUUGAAGGGGAAAAAGAGCGGAGAGAGGAAAUGGUCUCCGAUUGAUAUUACCCUUCGAGGAAGUCACGGCUAACUACGUGCCAGCAGCCGCGGUAAUACGUAGGUGGCGAGCGUUAUCCGGAAUGAUUGGGCGUAAAGGGUGCGUAGGCGGCCUGCUAAGUCUGGAGUGAAAGGUACCGGCUCAACCGGUACAGGCUCUGGAAACUG
rnacentral:rRNA from 1 species